CCAUGAUGGUCAGAGGGGACACAACAGACUCCCUCCCUUGGGGACUGGCUUUUACCUGCAGCACAAUUUGGUGGUAUGAAACCCAACUUUUUCAGGAAAAAAAAGGAGCCCUCCACUACGGGUACCCACUAUAGUGAUGUUAGUCGAAGGGGAGGAUUGACCUAUCGCCUUUGGGAAAUCUCAGAGUUAAGGCACCACGUCUGCUGUUGUGUACCUGUGGAGAGACAUCGGUGAUGUUCUGGUGGAUCUCUGAUCCAUUUGUGUGCGUCUCCGUCCGGGUGUCGGCCCUCUUAAGUUUGUGAGCCACACUCACAGCACUGGCGUCUUUC